rnacentral:rRNA from 1 species
UACGGAGGAUGCAAGCGUUGUCCGGAAUGAUUGGGCGUAAAGCGUGCGCAGGUGGCUGUGUAAGUCUGCUGUUAAAGAGUGAGGCUCAACCUCAUAAGAGCAGUGGAAACUACAUAGCUAGAGUGCGUUCGGGGCAGAGGGAAUUCCUGGUGUAGCGGUGAAAUGCGUAGAUAUCAGGAAGAACACCGGUGGCGAAAGCGCUCUGCUAGGCCGCAACUGACACUGAGGGACGAAAGCUAGGGGAGCGAAUGGG